CACUGUUGGAUGAGCAUAAAGAGGAUAUUGAGUCACUGGCCCGCGCCGAUCGCUUCCUUUACGAAAUAUCAAAGAUUCCCCACUACGAGUAAAGGCUGAAGAGUCUCCACUACAGGAAGCGCUUUAUGCCGACGGUCAACGAUCUUAUACACCGCAUCGCCAGUGUAAUAGAGGCGUACCGCGUAGUGGCUAGUUCCCGACGUCUGCGAAAGCUCCUUGAGCUGAUUCUGGCUAUGGACAACUACAUGAACCGCAGGGCGCGUGGCCGACACCAAGUCCAGUGCCGCCAAGGGCACCACCCUGCUGCAAUAUCUCGUCCAGGUAAUCGAGAGUAAAUUCAAGGAUCCACUGGAGCUGGA